rnacentral:rRNA from 1 species
GCGAACGGGUGAGUAACACGUGGGUGAUCUGCCCUGCACUUUGGGAUAAGCCUGGGAAACUGGGUCUAAUACCGAAUAGGACCACGCGCUUCAUGGUGUGUGGUGGAAAGCUUUUGCGGUGUGGGAUGGGCCCGCGGCCUAUCAGCUUGUUGGUGGGGUAAUGGCCUACCAAGGCGACGACGGGUAGCCGGCCUGAGAGGGUGACCGGCCACACUGGGACUGAGAUACGGCCCAGACUCCUACGGGAGGCAGCAGUGGGGAAUAUUGCACAAUGGGCGCAAGCCUGAUGCAGCGACGCCGCGUGAGGGAUGACGGCCUUCGGGUUGUAAACCUCUUUCAAUAGGGACGAAGCGCAAGUGACGGUACCUAUAGAAGAAGCACCGGCCAACUACGUGCCAGCAGCCGCGGUAAUACGUAGGGUGCGAGCGUUGUCCGGAAUUACUGGGCGUAAAGAGCUCGUAGGUGGUUUGUCGCGUUGUUCGUGAAAACUCACAGCUUAACUGUGGGCGUGCGGGCGAUACGGGCAGACUAGAGUACUGCAGGGGAGACUGGAAUUCCUGGUGUAGCGGUGGAAUGCGCAGAUAUCAGGAGGAACACCGGUGGCGAAGGCGGGUCUCUGGGCAGUAACUGACGCUGAGGAGCGAAAGCGUGGGGAGCGAACAGGAUUAGAUACCCUGGUAGUCCANNNCGUAAACGGNNNNNNCUAGGUGUGGGUUCCUUCCUUGGGAUCCGUGCCGUAGNNNNNGCAUUAAGU